rnacentral:rRNA from 1 species
GAUGAACGCUGGCGGCGUGCCUAAUACAUGCAAGUCGAGCGAACAGACGAGGAGCUUGCCCCUCUGACGUUAGCGGCGGACGGGUGAGUAACACGUGGAUAACCUACCUAUAAGACUGGGAUAACUUCGGGAAACCGGAGCUAAUACCGGAUAAUAUAUUGAACCGCAUGGUUCAAUAGUGAAAGACGGUUUUGCUGUCACUUAUAGAUGGAUCCGCGCCGCAUUAGCUAGUUGGUAAGGUAACGGCUUACCAAGGCAACGAUGCGUAGCCGACCUGAGAGGAUGAUCGGCCACACUGGAACUGAGACACGGUCCAGACUCCUACGGGAGGCAGCAGUAGGGAAUCUUCCGCAAUGGGCGAAAGCCUGACGGAGCAACGCCGCGUGAGUGAUGAAGGUCUUCGGAUCGUAAAACUCUGUUAUUAGGGAAGAACAAAUGUGUAAGUAACUAUGCACGUCUUGACGGUACCUAAUCAGAAAGCCACGGCUAACUACGUG